rnacentral:rRNA from 1 species
GGUCUCAAAUCAAGCAAGAGAACCCGCUGAACUUAAGCAUAUCAAUAAGCGGAGGAAAAGAAACCAACUGGGAUUCCCUUAGUAACGGCGAGUGAAGCGGGAAAAGCUCAAUUUUGAAAUCUCACGGUCACGCCGUGCGAAUUGUAGUUUGAAGGCCCACGUUCGGUGACAGGCUUCGUCAAAGUCCGUUGGAACACGGCGCCAGAGAGGGUGAGAGCCCCGUGAGACGUUGCUCAAGUUGCCAUGUGACGCGGUGCCGAAGAGUCGGAUAGUUUGGGAAUGCUGUCCAAAGCGGGUGGUAAACACCAUCUAAGGCUAAAUAUCGACGAGAGACCGAUAGCGAACAAGUACCGUGAGGGAAAGGUGAAAAGUACUUUGAAAAGAGAGUUAAACAGCGCGUGAAAUUGCCAAAAGGGAAGCGCUUGGAAUCAG